rnacentral:rRNA from 1 species
GAUGAACGCUAGCGGCAGGCCUAAUACAUGCAAGUCGAACGGUGUCUUCGGACAUAGUGGCGCACGGGUGCGUAACACGUAUGCAACCUAACUUACAUUGGGGGAUAGCCUUUCGAAAGGGAGAUUAAUACCGCAUAAGACAGUAGCUGGGCAUCCAGCAGCUGUUAAAGCUUUAUCGAUGUAAGCUGGGCAUGCGUCCAAUUAGCUAGUUGGUGAGGUAACGGCUCACCAAGGCAAUGAUUGGUAGGGGAACUGAGAGGUCAAUCCCCCACACUGGCACUGAGAUACGGGCCAGACUCCUACGGGAGGCAGCAGUAGGGAAUAUUGGGCAAUGGACGCAAGUCUGACCCAGCCAUGCCGCGUGCAGGAUGAAGGCGUUAUGCGUUGUAAACUGCUUUUAUACAGGAAGAAACGACUCUUGCGAGAGGCAUUGACGGUACUGUAUGAAUAAGCACCGGCUAACUCCGUGCCAGCCGCCGCCGUAAAAC